rnacentral:rRNA from 1 species
CCUACGGGUGGCAGCAGUGAGGAAUAUUGGUCAAUGGACGCGAGUCUGAACCAGCCAAGUAGCGUGAAGGAUGACUGCCCUAUGGGUUGUAAACUUCUUUUAUAUGGGAAUAAAAUGUUGCACGUGUGGGGUUUUGUAUGUACCUUAUGAAUAAGGAUCGGCUAACUCCGUGCCAGCAGCCGCGGUAAUACGGAGGAUCCGAGCGUUAUCCGGAUUUAUUGGGUUUAAAGGGAGCGUAGGUGGGUUGUUAAGUCAGUUUUGAAAGUUUGCGGCUCAACCGUAAAAUUGCAGUUGAUACUGGCAGUCUUGAGUACAGUAGAGGUGGGCGGAAUUCGUGGUGUAGCGGUGAAAUGCUUAGAUAUCACGAAGAACUCCGAUUGCGAAGGCAGCUCGCUGGACUGCAACUGACACUGAUGCUCGAAAGUGUGGGUAUCAAACAGGAUUAGAUACCCUAGUAGUC